rnacentral:other from 1 species
GUUCCCCUGCCCGGUUCGUGAUGGGCCGGCCAACUCAAGUCGAGAACCGAUGCGAUUUUUUCGGGAGACGUUCCUUCUGGCACCGCGCGAACUGCCGCAAAACGGGGCAGAGGCAGGGCGUCGGGACUACGUCACCCACCUGCUUAGGCAGGUUCCGACGCGGCUACCCACACGGCCAUGGCGGGGGUUCU